GCUGACCUCUGGACACAACAGGAUAGCCGUACUUAGGGAUUCAUAGCAGUUGUGACAUCAUGAACCACACAGACCCAUGCAAGCUCAAUCCAGACAAAAUCUCAGCAUGGAAGGGCAGAGCUAGAUAGACGUCCCACCCCCCCAGCUAAGGCGCUAUUGGCAACUGGUAGCUGUUCAUGGACAGAAGAGCCUGUUUUCUUUAAGAGUGUAGCACCUGGUGCCAUAUCAUGUAUUCCUUUUGAUGAUCCUAGAAGUUGGUUCUGAGACAGGACCUUUUUUGCAAAAGAGAAAGUUGAAUCAUCCAGACGUGGUGGCCCUGGUGUACUGGCUUUUUUUUUUUUUUCCCAAGACAAGGACUCAAACUUUGCUACAUCCACUCCAGUAGUGACUCCCAUGACAGGCCUAGAAACCUGGACACAGUCCUGAGGCAAAAAGUUCACGGAAACUUAGUCUCCUGGAACCGUGGCAUCCUG
rnacentral:lncRNA from 1 species